GUAUAUGUGGAGAGAGGAGACAGGUGGUUUUAACCUGGCUGUAUAUGUGGAGAGAGGAGACAGGUGGUUUUAACCUGGCUGUAUAUGUGGAGAGAGUAGACAGGUGGUUUUAACCUGGCUGUAUAUGUGGAGAGAGGAGACAGGUGGUUUUAACCUGGCUGUAUAUGUGGAGAGAGUAGACAGGUGGUUUUAACCUGGCUGUAUAUGUGGAGAGAGGAGACAGGUGGUUUUAACCUGGCUGUAUAUGUGUGAAGAGAGGAGACAGGUGGUUUUAACCUGGCUGUAUAUGUGGAGAGAGGAGACAGGUGGUUUUAACCUGGCUGUAUAUGUGGAGAGAGGAGACAGGUGGUUUUAACCUGGCUGUAUAUGUGUGAAGAGAGGAGACAGGUGGUUUUAACCUGGCUGUAUAUGUGUGAAGAGAGGAGACAGGUGGUUUUAACAUGGCUGUAUAUGUGG
ensembl:lncRNA